rnacentral:lncRNA from 1 species
AUGACUUGGAAUCCAUCUUUGUCUUGUAUAACUAGGUCAUAGCACACCAUUAAUGUCAGCAGUUAACAAUUUUGAAUUCCAAAAAACCUAAGUAAACGACAUAUUUAAUUUUUUUUCCUCUUUUUUUCUUGGGUGGGUGGGUGGGAGCUUGGAGCUGUCUUAAUCUGUAUUCUCUUGACUGAACAAUAAAUUUUUAAAUAUAUGUAGUUUCCUCUAUUAAACACUUAAACCUGGCCAUCUUAUUAACUCCUUCUGCUCUCUUUUUAACAAGGUAAUGUUUUAAAUGUAUAGCUGUAGGAUUAGCGAAAUGGCAGCAACAAAAAAUUGUAAGCAGUUGUUAUUCUUUUAAGUUUUUAAAAACCUUUUACGUUGUAAGUACCCAAUCCAUUCUGUCCUUAUGCAGUGCAGUUUCUAUGUUAAUGUUGCUGAGAUGUCCUUAAUUUUCUGAACCUUCAUCUGCAUGUAUGUCUUUGUCGCUCUUGUCUAAUAUAAGCCAGUUAAAAAUGCUUCUAGACGAUUUUGCUUUCUAUAAAGCUAAGGUUUUAGCUUUAAGCUUUUGAAAAUGUUUACAGCAAUAAAUGCUAGUCAGUUUUCUUCCCAGUAACAUGUACACUUUCUUUGAAAAUCGAUCUAUUUGAAGAAAAACAGCUCUGUUUUUCUCGUCUUGGUAGGGGGGUGGGUGAGGGAAAGGAAGACCUUCUCUUUGUGUACAGAGACUAAAGCCGUCACAGGAAACUAGAUUAAAACUGGAAAACAAGUCCUAGCUGGUUCGAGCCAAACACCAACGUUAACUCGCGGAGCAGUAAACAGUCCUCAGCGAAGCCGCCUUUUGCCAACCCAACCCUGGAAAGUUUGCAGAAGUGGAAGGAGCAGAAAAUGCCAUGAGAGUAUAACUUACAAAAAGCUUGAUCUUCCAGACUCCAUGGCACCGGGCUGAGCGGGUAAGUUCAAAAAAAAAAAAAAAAAAGUGCCUUUUGCCCCUUCGAGGAAAUCUUUUUUCGAGCAGGCCAAGGGCUGCAGAUGUUUGGGAGCUGAGGGGAGAAGGAGGUUUCUGGAGCUUUGUGUUUGGC